rnacentral:rRNA from 11 species
GAGUUUGAUCUUGGCUCAGAUUGAACGCUGGCGGCAUGCCUUACACAUGCAAGUCGAACGGCAGCACGGGAGCUUGCUCCUGGUGGCGAGUGGCGAACGGGUGAGUAAUGCAUCGGAACGUAUCCUGGAGUGGGGGAUAACGUAGCGAAAGUUACGCUAAUACCGCAUAUUCUGUGAGCAGGAAAGCGGGGGACCUUCGGGCCUCGCGCUCUUGGAGCGGCCGAUGUCGGAUUAGCUAGUUGGUGAGGUAAAGGCUCACCAAGGCGACGAUCCGUAGCAGGUCUGAGAGGAUGAUCUGCCACACUGGAACUGAGACACGGUCCAGACUCCUACGGGAGGCAGCAGUGGGGAAUUUUGGACAAUGGGGGCAACCCUGAUCCAGCCAUGCCGCGUGAGUGAAGAAGGCCUCGGUUGUAA